CACACCUGGCUAAUUUUUUGUAUUUUUAGUAGAGACGGGGUUUCACCAUGUUGGCCAGGCUGAUCUCGUACUCCUAACCUCAGGUGAUCUGCCCACCUCAGCCUCCCAAAGUGCUGGGAUUACGGGUGUGAACCACUAUGCCCGGUGAGGAUUGUUCUUAUCACAUUCUUAUCACCAUUUUACAGAGGAAGAAGUGUCUGGGGAGAUCAAGUGACUUGCUCAGGCAGCUGGGAAGUGGCAGAGAAAGGAUUAGAACUCAGGACUGGCUCUGGGUUUCCAACAUUGUAUUACCUCUGGUAGGGCCAGAGGCACAGCGGUUGGAACUCAUGGUUUGCCAAAGAAAAGAGGCCUUGGUGAAAACUCCUUACUCUUGGUUGGAACCCUGAAGGGCUGUACCCUAGAGGUAAGGG
rnacentral:lncRNA from 10 species